GUGCUCACUUCAGCAGCACAUAUACUAAAAUUGGAAUGAUACAGGGAAGAAUAGCAUGGCCCCUGCACAAGAAUGACACACAAAUUCGUGAAGCAUUCUAUUUUUAA
ensembl:snRNA U6 U6 spliceosomal RNA